AGUGAACGCUGGCGGUAGGCCUAACACAUGCAAGUCGAACGGCAGCACAGUAAGAGCUUGCUCUUACGGGUGGCGAGUGGCGGACGGGUGAGGAAUACAUCGGAAUCUACUUUUUCGUGGGGGAUAGCGUAGGGAAACUUACGCUAAUACCGCAUACGACCUACGGGUGAAAGCAGGGGAUCUUCGGACCUUGCGCGAUUGAAUGAGCCGAUGUCGGAUUAGCUAGUUGGCGGGGUAAAGGCCCACCAAGGCGACGAUCCGUAGCUGGUCUGAGAGGAUGAUCAGCCACACUGGAACUGAGACACGGUCCAGACUCCUACGGGAGGCAGCAGUGGGGAAUAUUGGACAAUGGGCGCAAGCCUGAUCCAGCCAUACCGCGUGGGUGAAGAAGGCCUUCGGGUUGUAAAGCCCUUUUGUUGGGAAAGAAAAGCAGCAGGUUAAUACCCCGCUGUUCUGACAGUACCCAAAGAAUAAGCACCGGCUAACUUCGUG
rnacentral:rRNA from 1 species